CACAGGCAAUUUCUGCUUUCUUCCAUGCUACAAAUCCUCCCAGUGGCAAGGAGCACAAGUUUGUGCUGCCAUCGGAUUAAGUCAUUGGCAAAGUAAAGAUAAAACACCAUGAGAGGUUGGGCAUGGUGGCUCACAUCUAUAAUCCCAGCACUUUGGGAGGCCGAGGUGGGCAGAUUACGAGGUCAGGAGUUUGAGACCAGUCUGGUGAACAUAGUGAAACCCCAUCUCUAGUAAAAAUACAAAAAAUUAGCCAGGUGUGGUGGUGCCUGUAAUUCCAGCUACUUGGGAGGCUGAGGCAGGAGAAUCACAUGAACCCGGGAGGCGGAGAUGGCGCCAUUGCACUCCAGUGGGGUUACAGUGUGAGACUCUGUCAAAAAAUAAAAAAUAAAAAUAAAAAACUAUGUCCUCCUACACAGUGAGUUCUAGUCAAACCCGAACACAUUUAACCCUUCACCUAGAGCACAGGAAAUAAAACUGGUAGCCCACAUGUCAAAAGGUGGAUGUUUUUCUAACUCUGGGUCUUUAAUCUCCAAAAAUAUUAAGGUAACAAAUCAGGAGAAUUUUUGGUAAAGAAUUUGAUAAACGUAACAUACCGUUUGCAUUUUGCAAUUAGCCCACCUUUCAUCAAAUAGAUUUAUAAAAUAAAUUAGCCACAUUGAGUUUGUUUCUGGGAUAAGCAAUUGAACAUGUGAUUGCAAAGGCAGAGACCUUUUCUGGCCUUCCCUGGCUCCUCUGUCUAAAGUUCAUGAGUCCUGCAAUAUUUUGUCUCCUACUUUGCCAAUUUUUUUUUUAUCAUUCUCAUCACUUGCUACAUUUGAACAGUCUGAAUAUUCCGGUUACAUAUUACAUACCAGGUGUAUUAGUCUGUCCUCAUGCUGCUAACAAAGACAUACCCAAGACUGGGUACUUUAUAAAGAAAAAAAGAGGUUUAAUGGGCUCAUAGUUCCACAUGGCUUGGGAGGCCUCACAAUCAUGGUGGAAGGCAAAGGAGGAGCAAGGACACAUCUUCCAUGGAAGCAGACAAAAAGGCAUGUGCAGGGGAACUCCCCUUUAUGAAGCCAUCAGAUCUCAUGAGACUUUUUCACUAUCAUGAGAACAACAUGGGAAAAACCCACCUCCAUGAUUCAAUUACCUCCCACCAGGUGCCUCCCAUGACACCAGGGGAUUAUUACAAUUUAAGGUGAGGUUUUGGUGGGGACACAGAGCCAAACUCUGUCAUUCUGCCCCUGGCCUCUCCUAAAUGUCAUGUGCUCACAUUUCAAAACCAAUCCUGCCUUCCAACUGUUCCUCAAAGUCUUCGCUCAUUCCAGCAUUAACCCAAAAGUCCAAGUCCAAAGUCUUCUCUAAGACAAGGCAAGUCCCUUCCACCUAUGAGCCUGUAAAAUCAAAAGCAAGUUAGUUACUUCCUAGAUACAAUGGGGAUACAGGCAUUGGGUAAAUACACCCAUUCCAAAUGGGAGAAAUUGGCCAAAGGAAGGGGCUACAUUCCCCAAGUGAGGCCAAUAUCCAGUAGGGCAGCCAAAUCUUAAAGCUUCAAAAUGAUCUUUGACUCCAUGUCUCAUAUCUCGGUCAUGCUGAUGCAAGAGUCGGGGUCCCAUGGCCUUGGGCAGCUCCACCCUUGUGGCUUUGCAGUGUACAGCAUCCCUCCUAGCUGCUUUCAUGGGUUGGCAUUGAGUGCCUGACUAUUCCAGGUGCAUGGCGCAAGCUGUUGGUGGAUCUACCAUUUUAGGAUCUGGAGGAUGGUGGCCCUUUACUCAUGGCUCCACUAGGCAGUGCCCCAGUGAGGACUCUGUGUGGGAGCUCACACCCCACAUUUCCCUUCUGCAUUGCCCUAGUAGAAGUUCUUCAUGAGGGUCCCACCCCUGCAGCAAACUUCUGCCUGGACAUCCAAGCAUUUCCAUACAUCCUCUGAAAUCUAGGCAGAGGUUCCCAAACCUCAAUUCUUGACUUCUGUGCCCCUACAGGCUCCACACCACAUGGAAGCUGCCAAGGCUUGGGGCUUGCACCCUUUGAAGUCACAGCCCGAGCUAUUUCUUGGCCCCUUUUAGCCAUGGCUUCAGUGGCCCGGGAAGAAGGGCACUAAGUCUUUACGCUGCAUACAGCAGAAGGGCCCUGUGCUUACCCCAUGAAAACAUUUUUUUCCCUCUUAGGUCUCCAGUCCUGUGAUAGGAGGGGCUGCCUGGAAGGUCUCUGACAUACUCUGGAGACAUAUUCCCCAUUGUCUUGGAGAUUAAUGUCUUAGAGAUUAACAUUUGCCUCCUCGUUACUUCUGCAAAUUUCUACAGUUGGCUUGAAUUUCUCCUCAGAAAGUGGGUUUUGCUUUCCUAGCACAUCAUCUGGCUGCGAAUGUUUCAAACUUUUAUGCUCUGCUUCCCUUUUAAACAUAAGUUCCAAUUCCAAACCAUAUCUUUGCAAAUACAUAAAAAUGAAUGCUUUUAACAGCACUCAAAUCACUUCUGGAAUGCUUUGCUACUUAGAAAUUUCUUCUGCCAGAUGCCCUAAAUCAUCUCUCUCAAGUUCAAAGUUCCACAGAUCUCUAGGGCAGGGGCAAGAUGCCACCAAUCUCUUCACUAAAACACAGCAACAGUCAUUUUUAUUCCACUUCCCAACAAGUUCCUAUCUUCAUUCGAGAUGAGCAGCAUUUAGUCAAAGCCAUUCAACAAGUCUCUAGAAAGUUCCAGAUUCUAUUUUCCUAUCUUUCUCUGAGCCCUAAGAACUGUUCCAACCUCUGCAUUUUACCCAGUUCCAACAUCGCUUCCACAUUUUUGGAGAUCUUUACAGCAGCACUCCAUUACUCAGUAUAAAUUUACUGCAUUAGUCAUUUCUCACACUGCUAAUAAAGACAUACUCAAGGCUGGGUAAUUAUAUAGAACAAAAAAGAGAUUUAAUAGACUCACAGUUCCACAUGGCUGGGGAGGCCUCAGAAUCAUGGCAAAAGGCAAAAGAGGAGCAAGGACACGUCUUACAUGGGUGCAGGCAAGAGGGUAUGAGCAGAGGAAUUCCCUUUUAUAAAACCAUCGGAUCUCAUGAGACAUUCAUUAUCAGGAGAACAGCAUGGAAAAAAAAACAGCACCCAUGAUUCAAUUACAUCCCACCAGAUACCUCCCAUAACACAUGAGGAUUAUUACAAUUCAUGGUGAGAUUUGAGUAGGGAAACAGAGACAGACCAUAUCACCAGCCUUCAUGUUUUUCUUUCCCUCUUGAAUGUGAGACCAAAGGGGAAAGGACCAUGAUAUGUUUUGACUGAACCUCUGGCACCUAGAGCAACGUCGUCCAUAUAUGUUUGCUAAAUGAAUGACUAGAUGCACUGCUUGAGGAUUCUAACAAAAGAUAAACUUAGCUAGAUAAUCUGCAAAUAAUCAUCCUUGAUUAUUUUUCUAACCUUAAACAUUUGUAUUAAUUAUAGUAAUAUCACUCAUUAUUUGCUUACCAUUUGCCAGGCUAUGUUCCAUGCAUUUUCCACAUUUUCUCUCACUUAAUGCUCAAAACUGUGUAGGUACAUACUGUUAAUAAAAUUAUUUCACAUACAGAGGAACCAAUGCAUAGGGAAGUUCAUUAUCUUGCCAAGGAAGGGAAGUUUAAAAUGCUAAGUUCAACAUUCUCAUUCCAGAGCCUAUGCUCUGGGCCUCUACAAUACAAUUUCCCUCAAAAAUAAACCCUCCAGGAUGGGUGGGUGGCUCAUGCCUGUAAUCCUAGCAAUUUGGGAGACCAAGGUGGGCACAUUGCUUGAGCCUGGGAGCUAAAGACAAGCCUAGGAAACACAAGGAGACCCUGUCUUUACAAGAGAUACAAAUAUUAGCUGGCCAUGGUGGCAUGUGCCAGUAAUUGCAGCUACUCGGGAGGCUGAGUUGGAAGAAUCAUUUGAGCCUGGGAAGUGGAGGCUGCAGUGAGCCAAGGUCAAAUAACUGCAUUCCGGCCUGCACGACAGAAUGAUACCGUGUAUCCGAAAAAAAAAAAAAAAAAAAAAAAGAAAGAAAAAAGCAAGGUGAAAAGAAGGACAUUAAAUAAGAAAAGCUUUAAUUCUGGUGAAAAAUGUUUCUAUUUCUUAAAGCAAAAAUGUUUCCCAGGGACAUACAUUACCCACAACUUUCCCAAGAGCUAUGAGGUGGGGUCAGGGGAACAGUGGUUCACAUACUCCGAAGGUUGUGUUACUUUUCUCCGUCAAGCUUUCUAAUGAUUGAGAAACUCUUCACUGUGUGAAUUUAAUUGUACACAUACUUUUUCAAUCCUGUCUUACUCUCCAAGCCCCAUUCCCCUCCUACCCUGAUCUAUCCAAGGGCUGGUGAAGAAAAUUUCCCAUGGAUACACUACCUGAUGCAGGCUACAGUUCUGAUUCUUUAAUGGGAAGAAAAAUAAAGACAUGCAUAUGCAUGCACAGUGAGUAUUUCCCAAUACGUGUACAGGCCCUGCCAAAAAGGAAGGCGAAGCAUACUUUCAGUUUCAGUCACACAAGAAGGUAGGAGAGAAAAGCCAUGGCUGACAAGGUCCUGAAGGAGAAGAGAAAGCUGUUUAUCCGUUCCAUGGGUGAAGGUACAAUAAAUGGCUUACUGGAUGAAUUACUACAGACAAGGGUGCUGAACCAGGAAGAGAUGGAGAAAGUAAAACGUGAAAAUGCUACAGCUAUGGAUAAGACUCGAGCUUUGAUUGACUCCGUUAUUCCGAAAGGGGCACAGGCAUGCCAAAUUUGCAUCACAUACAUUUGUGAAGAAGACAAUUACCUGGCAGGGACGCUGGGACUCUCAGCAGAUUUAUCCAAUAAUGGACAAGUCAAGCCGCACACGCCUUGCUCUCAUUAUCUGCAAUGAAGAAUUUGACACUAUUCCUAGAAGAACUGGAGCUGAGGUUGACAUCACAGGCAUGACAAUGCUGCUACAAAAUCUGGGGUACAGCGUAGAUGUGAAAAAAAAUCUCACCGCUUCGGACAUGACUACAGAGCUGAAGGCAUUUGCACACCGCCCAGAGCACAAGACCUCUGACAGCACGUUCCUGGUGUUCAUGUCUCAUGGUAUUCGGGAAGGCAUUUGUGGGAAGAAAUACUCUGAGCAAGUCCCAGAUGUGUUACAACUCAAUGCAAUCUUUAACAUGUUGAAUACCAAGAACUGCCCAAGUCUGAAGGACAAACCGAAGGUGAUCAUCAUCCAGGCCUGCCGUGGUGACAGCCCUGGUGUGGUGUGGUUUAAAGAUUCAGUAGGAGUUUCUGGAAACCUAUCUUUACCAACUACAGAAGAGUUUGAGGAUGAUGCUAUUAAGAAAGCCCACAUAGAGAAGGAUUUUAUCGCUUUCUGCUCUUCCACACCAGAUAAUGUUUCUUGGAGACAUCCCACAAUGGGCUCUGUUUUUAUUGGAAGACUCAUUGAACAUAUGCAAGAAUAUGCCUGUUCCUGUGAUGUGGAGGAAAUUUUCCGCAAGGUUCGAUUUUCAUUUGAGCAGCCAGAUGGUAGAGCGCAGAUGCCCACCACUGAAAGAGUGACUUUGACAAGAUGUUUCUACCUCUUCCCAGGACAUUAAAAUGAGGAAACUCUAUGAAUGUCUGUGGGCAGGUACAUGUGUAUGGUCGGGAGUAUGGGAAGGUUGAGGAAAGGGUACUGAAAGUCCAUUUUAGUCAAGAACUCUAGGUCUACAGGCUGAGAAUCCUUAAUCCAAAAAUUUGAAUUUUGAAAUGCUCUAAAAUCCAACACUGUGUGAGCGCCCACAUGAUAUUCAAAGGAAAUGUUUAUUGAAACAUUUCAAAUUAUAGGUUUUUGGAUUAGGGAUGCUAAACCAGUAAGUAUACUGCUGAAUUCCAAUAUACAAAAAUAUCUGAAAUUUGAAAUACUUCUGGUAGCAUGCAUUUUGGAUAAGGGAUAAUCAAGCCAUAUACAGAAAAUACUGAAGUAAUGCCUUUCUUCUGGUCAGUGCAGAGCACGUUGCUCUUCUCCCAAAGUUCUUCAUUUAGACCCCUUUUGAGAUUCAUCUGAUAUUGGCCUAGAAGUGGCCGUAAGACUACGAACCCUCACUUUUGGAUGUUUCUCUCCUUCGCCUCAGCAGGGUAUAUUUAAACAUAGCAUGCGGUCUUUCCUUUUAAAAUUGUGUAUGUUCCCAUUGGUGGUAUAACUUUAUAACUUGCAUGUCUUUAACAAAAUUCUUUCCUAUGUUUUUUUUUUUUAAUUAUUUCUUUUUCUCAUAGGAAGUGAAGAGAUCCUUCUGUAAAGGUUUUUGGAAUUAUGUCUGCUGAAUAAUAAACUUUUUUGAAAUAAUAAAUCUGGUAGAAAAAUGAAAA